UACGGGGGGGGCAAGCGUUGUUCGGAAUUACUGGGCGUAAAGGGCUCGUAGGCGGCCAACUAAGUCGGACGUGAAAUCCCUCGGCUUAACCGGGGAACUGCGUCCGAUACUGGAUGGCUUGAGUUUGGGAGAGGGAUGCGGAAUUCCAGGUGUAGCGGUGAAAUGCGUAGAUAUCUGGAGGAACACCGGUGGCGAAGGCGGCAUCCUGGACCGGCAUUGACGCUGAGGCGCGAAAGCUAGGGGAGCAAAGCGGG
rnacentral:rRNA from 1 species